UGCUUGAGAAGGUUCUUUUCUCAUCACCGGCCCAGGACAUCUCCCCUUCCUACCCUACAUCGACAUCGACUGCAGCUGGUCUGCGGCACCUGACUACAGGGGUCUCCGGCAAUAGCGGAAGCUUCUGCAGGUCCUGUUCACCACUGAAGAACGAGAGAGGAUCCAGAAUGAGGCCAGGAAAUUGGUUCCUGGUGACAAUGGUCAACCCACCACCAAUGCUGACACUAUCAACACUUCUUUUCCUCUGUCCCGACCCAACUGGGACUUCAACACAGCGGAAGGUAAGGAGAGGCUUUGGGUCUAUCUGCCAGGCUCUAUUAAAAGGUCUGAAAGCAGCAGCGAGGAAGCCUACAAAUUUGGCUAAGGUAGGGGAUGUACAACAAAAGUUAGAUGAAAGCCCUGCUGCUUUCCUAGAAAGAAUUCAGGAAGCUUUUCGUAGGUACACUCCUAUGGACCCAGAAGCAAUUGAG
rnacentral:lncRNA from 1 species